rnacentral:rRNA from 2 species
ACAUGCAGUCGAGCGAACUGAUUAGAAGCUUGCUUCUAUGACGUUAGCGGCGGACGGGUGAGUAACACGUGGGCAACCUGCCUGUAAGACUGGGAUAACUUCGGGAAACCGAAGCUAAUACCGGAUAGGAUCUUCUCCUUCAUGGGAGAUGAUUGAAAGAUGGUUUCGGCUAUCACUUACAGAUGGGCCCGCGGUGCAUUAGCUAGUUGGUGAGGUAACGGCUCACCAAGGCAACGAUGCAUAGCCGACCUGAGAGGGUGAUCGGCCACACUGGGACUGAGACACGGCCCAGACUCCUACGGGAGGCAGCAGUAGGGAAUCUUCCGCAAUGGACGAAAGUCUGACGGAGCAACGCCGCGUGAGUGAUGAAGGCUUUCGGGUCGUAAAACUCUGUUGUUAGGGAAGAACAAGUACGAGAGUAACUGCUCGUACCUUGACGGUACCUAACCAGAAAGCCACGGCUAACUACGUGCCAGCAGCCGCGGUAAUACGUAGGUGGCAAGCGUUAUCCUGAAUUAUUGGGCGUAAAGCGCGCGCAGGCGGUUUCUUAAGUCUGAUGUGAAAGCCCACGGCUCAACCGU